UCGAGAAUUUUUCUCAAUGGGGGAAACCCUGAAGGAGCGACGCCGCGUGGAGGAUGAAGGUCUUCGGAUUGUAAACUCCUGUCAUUGGGGAACAAGUCGCUUACGUUAACUGCGUGAGCGUUGAUAGUACCCGAAGAGGAAGAGACGGCUAACUCUGUGCCAGCAGCCGCGGUAAUACAGAGGUCUCAAGCGUUGUUCGGAUUCAUUGGGCGUAAAGGGUGCGUAGGCGGCGCGGUAAGUCGGGUGUGAAAUCUCGGAGCUUAACUCCGAAACUGCAUUCGAUACUGCCGUGCUUGAGGACUGGAGAGGAGACUGGAAUUUACGGUGUAGCGGUGAAAUGCGUAGAUAUCGUAAGGAAGACCAGUGGCGAAGGCGGGUCUCUGGACAGUUCCUGACGCUGAGGCACGAAGGUCAGGGGAGCAAACG
rnacentral:rRNA from 1 species